rnacentral:tRNA from 1 species
AUUUAGAUAGUUUAAAUAAAAUUUUGAUUUGUGGUAUCAGAGAUAAAGUGUAUCUUUUCUAAAUU